rnacentral:rRNA from 1 species
UACGGUAGGGGGCAAGCGUUGUCCGGAAUCAUUGGGCGUAAAGGGUGCGUAGGCGGCGCGGUAAGUCGGGUGUGAAAUCUCGGAGCUUAACUCCGAAACUGCAUUCGAUACGGGCAGGCUAGAGUUCGGGUAGGGGAGAUCGGAAUUCCUGGUGUAGCGGUAGAAAUGCGCAGAUAUCAGGAGGAACACCGAUGGCGAAAGGCAGGCUCGCUGGGACGGUACUGACGCUGAGGCGCGAAAGCGUGGGGAGCAAACAG